AUUUCAUUUUCCCCAUUUUUCGAUCUUCCAGUUGUGAAUUACUUAAUCAUCUUAGUGCAUGCAAGCACCUAUCGGUUUUGAGCGUGGCAAGAUAAUUCUUUAUGGGUUAGGAACUGUUUCCUUUAGUUAAGGUGCACAUGACCUUGAAUAUGGGCUGAGUUACUACUGUUUGAUGAUAUUUGGAAAUGCGUGAUUAAAAAGGUUAAAGACUCGAGGAGGACGUAAAAGCUUUUGAGGACUUGGAUAUUUGCUGUUGGCUUCUACUGUUUGGGCAUGCUGCGAUUGAUGUGAUAUUUUAUGGAUGACUGUAUGAAAUUGAGAAGCUUUUAUUACUGUGAACUAUGAUUUUAUUAUUGCAUUACGAUUUUAUGACCAGCAAGUAUUUUGGAAACAUAUGUUGAAACGUUUGCGAAAAGGAUUGUGACAUGUUAUCUAAAUGCUGAGUUUUGAAAAGUCUUUGGGAGCACUUUGUAAGUUGUCGUACUGGGGCUACAGACCUCCGAUUUUCUUAUAAUUUAUAUGCACGCGUAGCCCCAGGUGUCUAGUUUCAUUAUAUAUAAACCUUGCAAAGAAAUUCUGAAAGAUCGAUUUAUUAUGAAUUUUACCAGCCAGGACAUUUGUGAUAU